GCCGCCGCGGUAAUACGUAGGGGGCUAGCGUUAUCCGGAAUUACUGGGCGUAAAGGGUGCGUAGGUGGUUUCUUAAGUCAGAGGUGAAAGGCUACGGCUCAACCGUAGUAAGCCUUUGAAACUGGGAAACUUGAGUGCAGGAGAGGAGAGUGGAAUUCCUAGUGUAGCGGUGAAAUGCGUAGAUAUUAGGAGGAACACCAGUUGCGAAGGCGGCUCUCUGGACUGUAACUGACACUGAGGCACGAAAGCGUGGGGAGCAAACAGGAUUAGAUACCCC
rnacentral:rRNA from 1 species